CAAGUCGAACGAUGAAGCUUCUAGCUUGCUAGAAGUGGAUUAGUGGCGCACGGGUGAGUAAGGUAUAGUUAAUCUGCCCUACACAAGAGGACAACAGUUGGAAACGACUGCUAAUACUCUAUACUCCUGCUUAACACAAGUUGAGUAGGGAAAGUUUUUCGGUGUAGGAUGAGACUAUAUAGUAUCAGCUAGUUGGUAAGGUAAUGGCUUACCAAGGCUAUGACGCUUAACUGGUCUGAGAGGAUGAUCAGUCACACUGGAACUGAGACACGGUCCAGACUCCUACGGGAGGCAGCAGUAGGGAAUAUUGCGCAAUGGGGGAAACCCUGACGCAGCAACGCCGCGUGGAGGAUGACACUUUUCGGAGCGUAAACUCCUUUUCUUAGGGAAGAAUUCUGACGGUACCUAAGGAAUAAGCACCGGCUAACUCCGUGCCAGCAGCCGCGGUAAUACGGAGGGUGCAAGCGUUACUCGGAAUCACUGGGCGUAAAGGGCGCGUAGGCGGAUUAUCAAGUCUCUUGUGAAAUCUAAUGGCUUAACCAUUAAACUGCUUGGGAAACUGAUAGUCUAGAGUGAGGGAGAGGCAGAUGGAAUUGGUGGUGUAGGGGUAAAAUCCGUAGAUAUCACCAAGAAUACCCAUUGCGAAGGCGAUCUGCUGGAACUCAACUGACGCUAAGGUGCGAAAGCGUGGGGAGCAAACAGGAUUAGAUACCCUGGUAGUCCACGCCCUAAACGAUGUACACUAGUUGUUGGGGUGCUAGUCAUCUCAGUAAUGCAGCUAACGCAUUAAGUGUACCGCCUGGGGAGUACGGUCGCAAGAUUAAAACUCAAAGGAAUAGACGGGGACCCGCACAAGCGGUGGAGCAUGUGGUUUAAUUCGAAGAUACGCGAAGAACCUUACCUGGGCUUGAUAUCCUAAGAACCUUAUAGAGAUAUGAGGGUGCUAGCUUGCUAGAACUUAGAGACAGGUGCUGCACGGCUGUCGUCAGCUCGUGUCGUGAGAUGUUGGGUUAAGUCCCGCAACGAGCGCAACCCACGUAUUUAGUUGCUAACGGUUCGGCCGAGCACUCUAAAUAGACUGCCUUCGUAAGGAGGAGGAAGGUGUGGACGACGUCAAGUCAUCAUGGCCCUUAUGCCCAGGGCGACACACGUGCUACAAUGGCAUAUACAAUGAGACGCAAUACCGCGAGGUGGAGCAAAUCUAUAAAAUAUGUCCCAGUUCGGAUUGUUCUCUGCAACUCGAGAGCAUGAAGCCGGAAUCGCUAGUAAUCGUAGAUCAGCCAUGCUACGGUGAAUACGUUCCCGGGUCUUGUACUCACCGCCCGUCACACCAUGGGAGUUGAUUUCACUCGAAGCCGGAAUACUAAACUA
rnacentral:rRNA from 1 species